UUUGAAAAUUUAAAGUUUUGGCAGUAUUUUAAUCUAUUUAGAGGUACCUGUUUUUUAAUUGAUAAUCCACGAUUGUAUUUACUUAAAUUUUAAAUUUAUAUAUCGUCGUUUAAAAAAUUUUAAUUAAAAUUUUUUCAGAUCAAGAUAUAGUUUAUAUUUAAGAUUAAAUGGGUUACAUUAAAAAAAAUUAUUGAAUUGGAUUUAAAAGUAAGCUCUAAAAUAUGUACAUAUUGCCCGUCGCUUUUUCUUUAAAGAAAAAUAAGUCGUAACAAAGUAGAUUAACUGGAAAGUGAAUCUAGAAUUCAAAUUAUAGCUUAAUAAGCAUUUUAUUUACACUAAAAAGAUAAUUAAAAAUUAAUUUAAUUUGAAAUAAAUCUUUAUUUAUAAUAUUAUUAAUUUAAUUUAAAAAAAAUAAAUUAUUUAAUUAUCUAAUGAAAAAACUUAAAUAAUAAAAAACAGAAUUGGAAUUACUUUAAAUAUUUAUAAGAAAUUUUUUUAUUGUACCUUUUGUAUCAGGGUUAAUUUACAAAUAAUUCCCGAAUUUAAAUGAAUUAGUUUUAAUGUAAAAUAAUUAUUUAAAAUUUUUUACUGGAAGUAAAAUGCUUACGAAUUUAAAUAUAUCUGGUUUUUAAAGAUCUUAAUUUAAUUAAGCUAUAAUUUUUACAACAAAACGGGAUAAGCUGUUAAUUUGAAAUUAUAAAUUCUUAUAAUAAAGAAAAACUUAAAAUUAAAAUUUUUUAUUUUUAAUUAUAUUUUAUAAUUAAUUUUAAUUGUGUAUUUAAAUAUUUAUUAAAAUUUUAUUUGUAAAUUGAUAAUGAUUAAAUUAGUAAAAUUAAUUUAAGGAAUUAGGCAAAUUUAGUUUUCAACUGUUUAUUAAAAACAUUUCUUUUUGUUAUUAUUUAAAGUCAGGCCUGCCCAAUGAUUUAAUGGCCGCAGUAUAUUAACUGUGCAAAGGUAGCAUAAUCAUUAGUUUAUUAAUUGUAAGCUGGAAUGAAAGGUCAAAUGAAAAACUUUCUGUCUCUAAUUUUAUUUUUAAGUUAAAAAGCUUAAAUUAUAUUAAAAGACGAGAAGACCCUAUAGAGUUUUUUUGUUGGGGUGACAAAGAAAUUAAAAAAACUUUAUGAAUUAUUGAAUAUUUGAUCCUUGAUUAAAAGAUUAAAUUACCUUAGGGAUAACAGCGUUAUUUUUCUUGAGAGUUCUAAU
rnacentral:rRNA from 1 species